rnacentral:rRNA from 1 species
GACGUAGGGCGCGAGCGUUGUCCGGAUUUAUUGGGCGUAAAGAGCUCGUAGGCGGCUUGUCGCGUCGACUGUGAAAACCCGCGGCUCAACUGCGGGCCUGCAGCCGAUACGGGCAGGCUGGAGUUCGGUAGGGGAGACUGGAAUUCCUGGUGUAGCGGUGGAAUGCGUAGAGAUCGGGAAGAACACCAGUGGCGAAGGCGGCGAGCUGGCCUUGAACUGACGCUGAGGCGCGACAGCGUGGGGAGCAAACAGG